UACAGAGGUCUCAAGCGUUGUUCGGAUUCAUUGGGCGUAAAGAGCUCGUAGGCGGUUAGUCGCGUCUGCUGUGAAAAACUCGGGGCUUAACUCCGGGCCUGCAGUGGGUACGGGCAGACUAGGGUGCGGUAGGGGAGACUGGAAUUCCUGGUGUAGCAGUGAAAUGCGCAGAUAUCAGGAGGAACACCGGUGGCGAAGGCGGGUCUCUGGGCCGUAACUGACGCUGAGGAGCGAAAGCAUGGGGAGCGAACAGG
rnacentral:rRNA from 1 species